AUCACGUGAAAACACCAGUUCCUGUAUGAUCACCGAAGUUAAGCAUCGUCAAGCCUGGUCAGUACCUAGAUGAGUGACCGCUUGGAAAUAACAAGUGCU